rnacentral:rRNA from 1 species
GAUGAACGCUGGCGGCGUGCCUAAUACAUGCAAGUCGAGCGUACGGACGAGAAGCUUGCUUCUCUGAUGUUAGCGGCGGACGGGCGAGUAACACGUGGAUAACCUACCUAUAAGACUGGGAUAACUUCGGGAAACCGGAGCUAAUACCGGAUAAUAUUUUGAACCGCAUGGUUCAAAAGUGAAAGACGGUCUUGCUGUCACUUAUAGAUGGAUCCGCGCUGCAUUAGCUAGUUGGUAAGGUAACGGCUUACCAAGGCAACGAUGCAUAGCCGACCUGAGAGGGUGAUCGGCCACACUGGAACUGAGACACGGUCCAGACUCCUACGGGAGGCAGCAGUAGGGAAUCUUCCGCAAUGGGCGAAAGCCUGACGGAGCAACGCCGCGUGAGUGAUGAAGGUCUUCGGAUCGUAAAACUCUGUUAUUAGGGAAGAACAUAUGUGUAAGUAACUGUGCACAUCUUGACGGUACCUAAUCAGAAAGCCACGGCUAACUACGUG